GUGGAUUAGAUACCCUGGUAGUCCACGCCGUAAACGAUGGAUACUAGCUGUUGGGAGCAAUCUCAGUGGCUAAGCGAAAGUGAUAAGUAUCCCACCUGGGGAGUACGAACGCAAGUUUGAAACUCAAAGGAAUUGACGGGGGCCCGCACAAGCGGUGGAGCAUGUGGUUUAAUUCGAUGAUACGCGAGGAACCUUACCAAGGCUUAAAUGGGAAACGACAGGUUUGGAAACAGACCCUUCUUCGGACGUUUUUCAAGGUGCUGCACGGUUGUCGUCAGCU
rnacentral:rRNA from 1 species